CGAAUUUGAUACUGGUAUUUAGUAUUAGUUGUACAGUGGUGCCUUGUUUUUAAAAGUUUUUUAAUGGGGGCCAAUGACUAACACAAAUAUUAAAUAUGGCCAAUCACUGGGUAUUCUACCCUAUCUGAGAGACAACAAUGGUUAAAUGCAAUACAAUGUACAGGUUUUACUAGCGAAAUGAAAAUUUUCCUGUCCUGUCUGCUGUAAUCAUUUUAUAUCUGGAAAACCAGCCGACUUAAUAGAUAAUAACAAUCUCCAGAUUGGGUUCCUUCAAUAAAUAUGGUCUAUAAACACAAUGAAAUAAGUUCCCCAAAAUCUAAAAUGGAGUGGUAUCAAAGGAGAAUUAAAGGGAAAAAUAUUCAUAUUGAAAUUAUUUAUAAGGCACUGGACUGUCUUAAAUUCUACAAUAAUACUAGAAUCAGCUGAGAGAAGUGGUCUACAAAAAAACCAGGAAGGAAACGGAAUAUGUGGCUACGAAAGGCAAAAGAAAGGUUUACAAAGCAAAUGUGACACAUUUUUUUGAAAUAUUUAGGAAUAUCAGUAAAUUGCAUUAAAAAAAUGUAUGAAAAGAUUUUGUUCAAUAAAAAUGUUUAUAUUUAUCAAGGAUGUAUUAUUUGGUAUGGCCACAUAUCGUCAGUGAUGUAAUAAUACAUCCUAUCUGUUUUUUCAUGAGUUUUGUAAGAGAGACUAAAAACUUGUCUUAGGGUCACCUCCUGUUUUCAUAUGAUAUUUUUUGACUUGUUUUGUAGUAAAUUAAACUAUCUAUGAACUACAAAACAAGUCAAAACUUACAUAUGAACACAGGAGGUGACCUUAAAACAUGUUUUUCCAUCUCUCAUACAAAACUCAUGAAAAAACAGAUAGGAGGUAUUGUCACAUCAGCAAGGAUGUACAGUGAUGAGUGCCCUAAUAACCGGCAAAAUAUUUAGUUGUGAGAUAAAAAGAAAUGAAACUAGUCGAGCUGGGAAAUUUAGCGAAAUUAACCUUUAAAUUUACGUUAUAUUGAUCCCACCUUUACACAUAUCGGAGGAGUAUGUCAACUAAAACUGUCACUGUGACAGUGGUAGUUUCCAAACUCGUCUGAUACGUCUGAAGGUGGUACACAAUCAAUACAAUCUAAAUGUAUAAGUUAAUAUCGCUAAAUUUCCCAGCUCGACUAGUUUCAUGUCUUUUUAUCUCACUACUUAAUACAUCUUUUGUGCUAUUUUGCCGGUUAUUAGAGCGCUCAUCACUGUAUUUCUGGUAUAUCCAGGGAAUGUCUACAAAAUAUAUUUUGAAUGUCCAGAGAACAUUCGUGGACAUUCAUGGAAUGUUCCAAUAAGACAUUCAGGUAAUGUUUAAAAUGCUGACACAGGAUUUUCCUGGGAUGUUCUCAGGGAACAUGUUUUCGGGGAUAUUCCAGGAAUUUUUCAAUGUCUGUGUACCUUCUAUGGACCUAUAUGGAAUAUUUUGGUGUUAUUACCGCCG
rnacentral:lncRNA from 1 species